AGGGCCAUAUCAUGUUGAAACUACGGUUCUCAUAUGAUCACCAAAGUUAAGCAAUGUUGAGCCUAGUCAAUACCUAGAUGGUUGACCACUUGGGAAUACCAAGUGCUGUAA